CCAUCCUUGUUUUCUUCAGUUUCUGGUUCAUUUUAAUGCCUGGUACAACUAAAGGUACAUUUGUUUGGACAAAUAUAAUGAUAACAACAAAAAAUAUCUCAUUAAAGUUUAAUUUAAUAGCUAAUACCUAGCCAUGUUCCUUGGUUUUCUCGUUAAUAACUGAAAUCACUUCAGUUUUUACAUCAAUAUCUAUGACACUGUACUGCCAAAAACAGUGGUUUUAGGCAUUCCAUGUUUUCUUUUCUGUCUGUUUUAGUCACAUGAUACACACAGGAGUUAGUACUGGACUGCAUAACUAUUGUUUUUGAUGACUUUUGAUGGUCGAAUAAUUUCUUCCGCGACUGUACAUGUAGAUCUUUUCUGGUGUUAUCUGAAUGAAUCUCUU